rnacentral:rRNA from 1 species
AAUCAACGCUGGCGGCGUGCCUCAGACAUGCAAGUCGAACGCGAAAGUCCCCUUCGGGGGACAAGUAGAGUGGCGCACGGGUGAGUAACACGUAGGUAAUCUACCUUCGGAUGGGGAAUAACAACCGGAAACGGUUGCUAAUACCGCAUAAUGCAGCGGCACCUAAUGGUGACAGUUGUUAAAGCGGGGGAUUGAAAGACCUCGCGUCUGAAGAGGAGCCUGCGGCGGAUUAGCUUGUUGGAGGGUAACGGCCUACCAAGGCGACGAUCCGUAGCCGGCCUGAGAGGGCGGUCGGCCACACUGACACUGACAUACGGGUCAGACUCCUACGGGAGGCAGCAGUCGGGAAUUUUGGGCAAUGGGCGAAAGCCUGACCCAGCAACGCCGCGUGAAGGAU